CUCCACCUGUCGCCCCGGAUCAGCCUGCCCCACCGGCUGCAGUUCAUCCCGAUUUGCGGGUGCCAGCUCAUGCACCAUUCGCAAGAUACACCGUCGAGGAUUUGCUUGCCCAGCCCGGACGAGAGGGUUUACACGUUCUGGACCCCGAUAGACCCCCGGGUACUUAUUGGUUUGGGGCUAACAACCGUGUUAGCCGGAGCGUUUCAGAGACGAUGAAGGGAUAUUAUGACGGCCCUUAUCCCAACUGGACCAUGACUCCCGAUCACGUCAAGACGACGUGGUUUAAAUGUUUUGCGGUAAUUAUAUUUACAUAUUAUUAAUAUUUAUAUUGUUAAUUAAAUAAUUAUUAUUAUUUUUUUUCUAAUCUUUUAAAAUGUUUGUUUUUUCAGCAAAGGUGGAACUGGUCCGUAGGAAUCACCGAGAGGGUGAAGAGCGAAUUUAUUGCAAAGGCGAAAACUCGUCUUUGCAACACCGUCUCCGAUUGGAAGGACAAGUGGGAGAUUUACGGCUAUGAGGGGAAGCCGAGCGGGGUCACAAAGGAAGCAUGGGAUGGCCUCAUCACCUAUUGGAACGAACCCAGCUCCAUCCGCAAAGCCAACUCCUGCUCCGCUUCCC